rnacentral:rRNA from 1 species
GUGAGGAAUAUUGGUCAAUGGGCGGGAGCCUGAACCAGCCAAGUCGCGUGAGGGAUGACGGCCCUAUGGGUUGUAAACCUCUUUUGCCGGGGAGCAAAGUGCCGCACGUGUGCGGUUUGGAGAGUACCCGGAGAAAAAGCAUCGGCUAACUCCGUGCCAGCAGCCGCGGUAAUACGGAGGAUGCGAGCGUUAUCCGGAUUUAUUGGGUUUAAAGGGUGCGUAGGCGGACGCUUAAGUCAGCGGUAAAAUUGCGGGGCUCAACCUCGUCGAGCCGUUGAAACUGGGUGCCUUGAGUGGGCGAGAAGUACGCGGAAUGCGUGGUGUAGCGGUGAAAUGCAUAGAUAUCACGCAGAACUCCGAUUGCGAAGGCAGCGUACCGGCGCCCAACUGACGCUGAAGCACGAAGGCGUGGGUAUCGAACAGGA